rnacentral:rRNA from 1 species
CCUUUUGGUUGUAAAGCACUUUAAGCGAGGAGGAGGCUACUCUAGUUAAUACCUGGGGAUAGUGGACGUUACUCGCAGAAUAAGCACCGGCUAACUUCUGUG